UACGUAGGGUGCAAGCGUUAAUCGGAAUUACUGGGCGUAAAGCGUGCGCAGGCGGUGAUGUAAGUCAGAUGUGAAAGCCCCGGGCUUAACCUGGGAACUGCGUUUGAAACUGGGAGACUUGAGUGUGGCAGAGGGGGGUGGAAUUCCACGUGUAGCAGUGAAAUGCGCAGAUAUCAGGAAGAACACCUAUGGCGAAGGCAGCUCUCUGGGACGGUACUGACGCUGAGACGCGAAAGCGUGGGGAGCGAACAGG
rnacentral:rRNA from 1 species